rnacentral:rRNA from 1 species
UACGUAGGUGGCAAGCGUUGUCCGGAUUUACUGGGCGUAAAGGGCUUGUAGGCGGUUUGUUAAGUCUGGUGUGAAAUCUCCCGGCUCAACCGGGAGGGUCAUCGGAUACUGGCAGACUAGAGACGGGUAGAGGAAAGCAGAAUUCCCGGUGUAGCGGUGAAAUGCGUAGAUAUCGGGAGGAAUACCAGUGGCGAAGGCGGCUUUCUGGGCCUGUUCUGACGCUGAGGAGGCGAAAAGCGUGGGGAGCAAACCG